AUUCAUAUCGAAGACUCAGCUUAAUUCACACACCAUCUAAUAUCACAAAAAUGGCUUCAGUAGCUGCAUCUUCUUCUCUAGCGAUGAAAUUGCUCUUGGUACUCGUCAGCCUUGUCUUCAUAGUUCAUAUGGUUCAACUCACAUCUCAUGAAACUUCAUUUUCUCCAUCGCUCGCCGCUAAGUUUACUGCACGACGAGGCCUGGACGAUUGUGAGGAAAGGAGUUCAGUUUGCGGAAGUAGAUCUAGACGGAGUCGGCAUGGGAAAAAAUAAAUAUAGGCCUGUUGGUUCAUCUAUCAUGCUAAGCGGAUACGAACGCUUAGAAUAUAAUUUUAAUUCUGUCCAAAAUAAUUAUUGUUUUGAUUCAAUAAUACUCGACUCCCAUUUCGCAUUCA